CACGUAGGAGACGAGCGUUAUCCGGAUUUACUGGGUGUAAAGCGCGUGCAGGCGGAACGGCAAGUUGGAUGUGAAAGCUCCUGGCUUAACUGGGAGAGGUCGUACAAGACUGCCGAUCUAGAGGACAGCAGAGGGGAGUGGAAUUCCGAGUGUAGCGGUAAAAUGCAUAGAUAUUCGGAAGAACACCAGUGGCGAAAGCGGCUCUCUGGGCUGUAACUGACGCUCAGACGCGAAAGCUAGGGUAGCAAACGGG
rnacentral:rRNA from 1 species